GCCUGGGUGGCUCAGCGGUUGAGCAUCUGCCUUCAGCUCAGGUCGUGAUCCCAGAUCGCGGGAUCGAGUCCCACAUCGGGCU
rnacentral:tRNA from 1 species